UUGAUAGGUCGAAGGUGUAAGUGCAGCAAUGUAUUUAGCUUAUCGAUACUAAUAGGUCGAGGACUUGACCAA
rnacentral:rRNA from 3 species